CAAUCUUUGGCAGACGGCAGACGCUCCGCUCAAGAGAACGCUGGGGAAAAUAGAAACUUGCCUGUCAUCAACUGACUGAUCAAGCCAGGGAACGAAAACAGCAAGGCCGCAUGAUGCAAACGCAUGCAAGGGGGCUAUCUACACAGCAGGCCCCACGACAUAGCAGGAGGAAAUGCAACCUUGGAAGGAGGUCUGGCUACGUCUAUCUGGAGUUGUUGGACCCAGAAUUUCAGCAAAACCCUCUACAAGAUGAAGACAUGUUUCUGCAGAAUUUUUUUAGUACCGGGAGGUGUACGGAUCUCACCGAAGCGCGUGUGACUCCGAAGCACAGCUUAGACAAAAGGGGGACAUUCACAGUGAUGAAAGGGGCUGUCUACUUGAAGCACUAUAAUGGCACCAUAUUAUCGGAAGCAACAGAGGAAGCGUAACUGAAAGGCUGGUACCGAGA